GCAUAUCAAUAAGCGGAGGAAAAGAAACUAACAAGGAUUCCCCUAGUAACUGCGAGUGAAGCGGGAAAAGCUCAAAUUUAAAAUCUGGCGGUUCUGCCGUCCGAGUUGUAAUCUGGAGAAGCGUUUUCUGUGCUGGACCGUGUACAAGUCUCUUGGAACAGAGCGUCAUAGAGGGUGAGAAUCCCGUCCAUGACACGGACGCCCAGUGCUAUGUGAUACGUUUUCAAAGAGUCGAGUUGUUUGGGAAUGCAGCUCAAAAUGGGUGGUAAGCUCCAUCUAAAGCUAAAUAUUGGCGAGAGACCGAUAGCGAACAAGUACCGUGAGGGAAAGAUGAAAAGCACUUUGGAAAGAGAGUUAAACAGUACGUGAAAUUGUUGAAAGGGAAACGCUUGAAGUUAGUCGCGUCUUACUUGACUCAGCCUUGCCUCGGCUUGGUGUAUUUCAUGUGAGACGGGUCAACAUCGAUUUUGACCGGCAGAGAAGGGGAGCGAGAAUGUGGCAUUCUUCGGAGUGUGUUAUAGCUUGCUCUCAUAUGUGUCGGUUGGGAUCGAGGCCCGCAGCGCGCCCUUGUGGCCGGAGGUUCGCCUCACGUUACGCGCUUAGGAUGUUGGCAUAAUGGCUUUAAGCGACCCGUCUUGAAACACGGACC
rnacentral:rRNA from 1 species